GGUUGUAAACGCACCAAUCAGUGCCCUGUCAAAACAGUCCACUGGGCUCUACCAAUCAGCAGGAUGUGGGUGGGGCCAGAUAGGAGAACAAAAGCAGGCUGCCCGAGCUAGCAGUGGCAACAUGCUCAGGUCUCUUACCACGCUGUGGAAGCUUUGUUCUUUCGCUCUUUGCAAUGAAUCCUGCUGCUGCUCACUCUUUGGGUCCACACUGCCUUUAUGAGCUGUAACACUCACUGUGAAGGUCCGCAGCUUCCCUCCUGAGCCAGCGAGACCAGGAACCCACCAGAAGGAAGAAACUCAGAACACAUCCCAACAUCAGAAGGAACAAACUCCAGACGCGCCACCUUAAGAGCUGUAACACUCACCGCGAGGGUCUGCGGCUUCAUUCUUCAAGUCAGUGAGACCAAGAACCCACCAAUUCCGGACACACCAAGUCCUGAGUUCAGAAUUUUGUUUUUGAGAUGAACAUAAAAGCACCUAAAGGUCAAGGAAGAUGUUCUUCCUGUGAUAAGGAACACAAAGCCUGUUUGGUGGUCUCUUCACACGGAAGCGCAUGACACUUCGCUUUAGUGUAGAUGACCACUCCCCUCUGUAAGAGUCCAUUCUAAGUUGUUCUGUCAGUGAAACUCUGUUUAAAACAUGGCUUGUAUGAAGUUGUCAGGAAUCGGCUCUGACACUUGGAUGAUUCUUCAGCUGGCUAUAAAAUUCUAAAAUCAGAGUAACCGUGUAUUGACUUCCAACAUUCCACAUUUCCAAAGGUGUUUCCUGUGAUCUCUGGGAUCCUGAUCCGCACCACUCAACUUUGGCCUCCUAAACUUCAUCCUUGACCCCACCCCAGCUAUCAUAGUGUGAAAUUUCACAGCCAAAACUUCUGCAUCAGCUUCAUAAGGCAGGAAGCCUACAAAUUC
rnacentral:lncRNA from 10 species